GAUCCUGGCUCAGGAUGAACGCUAGCGGCAGGCUUAACACAUGCAAGUCGAGGGGCAACGCGAGUAGCAAUACUUGGCGGCGACCGGCGCAAGGGUGCGUAACGCGUGAGCAACAUGCCCGUAUCAGGGGGAUAAUCCAGGGAAACUUGGUCUAAUACCCCAUAGUAAUUUUGUAAGGCAUCUUAUAAGAUUUAAAGCUUUGGUGGAUACGGAUUGGCUCGCGUGACAUUAGCUGGAUGGUAAGGUAACGGCUUACCAUGGCUAUGAUGUCUAGGGGUUCUGAGAGGAAGGUCCCCCCACACUGGAACUGAGACACGGUCCAGACUCCUACGGGAGGCAGCAGUGAGGAAUAUUGGACAAUGGAUGGAAAUCUGAUCCAGCCAUGCCGCGUGAAGGAAAGAAGGUCCUAUGGAUUGUAAACUUCUUUUGUAUGGGAGCAAUAAGGCCUACGAGUAGGUUGAUGAGAGUACCAUACGAAUAAGCACCGGCUAACUCCGUGCCAGCAGCCGC
rnacentral:rRNA from 1 species